GUGCAUAAUGGUGUAGAAAGGUGAUGAGUAAUUUAAAAGGGAGUGGAAAUAGAAUGACAAGUGUAAAGGAGGGGACAUGCAUUUAAUGCAUCCUUUAUCAUGUUGAAUGGAUUAUUUAUUUAUACAUAUUAUAUCAUUUUGGAAUUGAAGUUUAGGGAUAUAUAUAUAUACACACCAUUACACGUGCUGCUACAGAGUAUUGUUGUACUUCUCUUAUCUCACUCUUGGAGAAUUGAUUUUAUGGAAACUUUGCACUGCACAUAACUGAAAGGAGAAGCAACGUGCAGUUAAUUUCUCUUGGCAGCAAUAUUUAUUUCCAAACCAAACAGCAACGUGUAACUAUUCUCAAGAACAAUAAGGCGGGUUUUGCUCUCCGCUCCGAUCUUGUUGUCCUGUUUUAUCGUGUUGUUGAAAUUGGGCUUUCUUCGAAGGGAAGUAAAGUGGAAGAAGAUUAUUUCUUGGUAUAUAUGAUUUUGAAGGAAAUGAGAAUUGAAUUUGGACUAGCGUAAAGGGCGAAAAAGGUCAGCAGACAGACGAGUUUAAUCCCUAGGAGCUUCACCAGCUGUUCCUUGAGAGUGCUCCAGUUGAUCCGGAGCUUCAGCCUAUUGGUACUACUUUUGUGUAUAUAAUCGGGCACGACAGAACCCGGCCCUUCCUAUGUAUAUAUGCACUUUGUAUAGAGGCUCGUAGACAGAUAUGUACAGUCAGAUGUUUUGUACUUUUGUUGUCCUCGUCGUUGUAUAACGUGCUAGCAAAGUUUAUAAGUUCAU